UACGGAGGGUGCGAGCGUUGUCCGGAUUUAUUGGGUUUAAAGGGUGCGUAGGUGGGAUCGUAAGUCUGAUUUGAAAGCAGGCGGCUUAACCGUCUGAUGUGGUUGGAAACUGCGGUUCUUGAAUGGGUUGGCGGUAGCCGGAAUGGGUCAUGUAGCGGUGAAAUGCAUAGAUAUGACCCGGAACACCGAUUGCGAAGGCAGGCUACUACGACUUGAUUGACACUGAGGCACGAGAGCAUGGGUAGCGAACAGG
rnacentral:rRNA from 1 species